GGCAGUUCUCGAGUGCUGCACCUCGGAAUCAGGCUUCCUCCUUUCUGGUUCUGGGUGCUUCACCCGAGAACCGCA
rfam:Myotis brandtii contig239399, whole genome shotgun sequence.